GAAAGCGGCCUCUUACUCUAGGCCUUUCGGUUUGCGCGAGCGGGCAGGAAAGCGUGCGUGCGGCUAAGAGAGUGGGCGCUCUCGCGGCCGCUGACGAUGGAAGAACUGGAGCAAGGCCUGUUGAUGCAGCCAUGGGCGUGGCUACAGCUUGCAGAGAACUCCCUCUUGGCCAAGGUUUUUAUCACCAAGCAGGGCUAUGCCUUGUUGGUUUCAGAUCUUCAACAGGUGUGGCAUGAACAGGUGGACACUAGUGUGGUCAGCCAGCGAGCCAAGGAGCUGAACAAGCGGCUCACUGCUCCUCCUGCAGCUUUCCUCUGUCAUUUGGAUAAUCUCCUUCGCCCAUUGUUGAAGGACGCUGCUCACCCUAGCGAAGCUACCUUCUCCUGUGAUUGUGUGGCAGAUGCACUGAUUCUACGGGUGCGAAGUGAGCUCUCUGGCCUCCCCUUCUAUUGGAAUUUCCACUGCAUGCUAGCUAGUCCUUCCCUGGUCUCCCAACAUUUGAUUCGUCCUCUGAUGGGCAUGAGUCUGGCAUUACAGUGCCAAGUGAGGGAGCUAGCAACGUUACUUCAUAUGAAAGACCUAGAGAUCCAAGACUACCAGGAGAGUGGGGCUACGCUGAUUCGAGAUCGAUUGAAGACAGAACCAUUUGAAGAAAAUUCCUUCUUGGAACAAUUUAUGAUAGAGUUAAAAGAUAUACCCAUCAAAACUGGAGACCCGGCAUAUUGGCCUAGAACUCUACAUGCUGCAUCGGUCUCUUUUUAUCAUGAAACUGCCAGAGGCAUGCAGCAUUGGUGAUGGAAAGCCCUUUGUCAUGAAUCUGCAGGAUCUGUAUAUGGCAGUCACCACACAAGAGGUCCAAGUGGGACAGAAGCAUCAAGGCGCUGGAGAUCCUCAUACCUCAAACAGUGCUUCCCUGCAAGGAAUCGAUAGCCAAUGUGUAAACCAGCCAGAACAACUGGUCUCCUCAGCCCCAACCCUCUCAGCACCUGAGAAAGAGUCCACGGGUACUUCAGGCCCUCUGCAGAGACCUCAGCUGUCAAAGGUCAAGAGGAAGAAGCCAAGGGGUCUCUUCAGUUAAUCUGUUGUGGCCUCAGCUGCUGAGGAUGGACUUGGAGAACAGCUUCCAAGCUUCACCUUGAAAGAAGCUUACAUGGCAGCAAUAUUUCUAAAAUAGUGAUACAGUCAGAGGCCUCCUGUAAGGGCGAGAGAACUGAAGUUGAUGUUGACAGGCCCACAGGGAAUUGGCCUUCCCUGUUCAAGUGGAAGCCAGUCUCUGAGAAUCCCGUGCUCUCCUCUCUUUUGGUGGAGGUUCUGUAGGUUCAGGUUUCUACCAUGGACUUUAGGUAUAUAGGGCAAGUCAGCAAGAAAGCACCACACACUCAGGAAGCCUUGUCUACCUUUCCCUAGCGUCUCUAGCCAGCCAGCCCCAGAUACUCCUCAGAGACCCACUUCUCUCUUUUGCAUGGAAUAAAAAGCACUCACAGUCCCUGCUUUUGGGAUUACUUAUGCUGUGGAACUCAUAACCCAAUUCACUUCCUUCACUGGGUCCCACCCCAUUGUUGUCUCUGGAUGAAGUCUAGCCAUCAGUCUGGUCCUUCAGAUUCUUCGUAAACUUUUCUGCAGUUGCCAGAGCUAAGUCUCCAUUUGGAAACUUUGAUCUCAAGAACUCUCUUGAUGGUGGGCACAAGACAGAUAGGUGAUUGCUGCUUUCCUUUGCCAAACUUGGAUGCAUUUUUCUCUUUGUUUCCAAAGUAUAGGCAACAGGUUAAACUACCACGUGGGGUAGUUUAUCAAUCCUCCCGCCUCAUCCUUCUGCAUAACUGGGACUAAAGGCACACACCACCACACCUAGCUAAUUUUUGUAUUUUUUUGUGUGUGGAGACAAGGCUUUGCCAUGUUGCCCAGGCUGGUCUUGAACUCCUGGACUCUAGUGAUCUGCCCACCUCAACCUCCCAAAGUGCUGGGAUUACAGGCAUGAGCUACCACGCCUAUCCAAUUUCUGGUUUAUUUACUUUCGAUGGUUAAAUGCCUCCUUAUUCAAAUAUCCUGUAUAUAUACUGGCGUUUCUGUCCUGAUGUCAAGUCUCGAGAGAAGAUGAUCAAACAAUAAUAAAAUAAUUAUAAUAAGAACAACAAUAAUAAAUAGCUAACAUUUAUUGAGCAGUUAAUGUAUACCAGCUACUCUAAUGAGCACUUGACAUUGAUCCUCAUAGCAUCAUAUGAGGAAGAUGCUGUUAACCCAUUAAGAAAUUGGAUCCUGAAGUGAGUAAGUGACUUAUCAAAGGUCAUACAGCUAAUAAGUGACAGCCAGAAUUUAAGCCCAGACAGCUGAGUUCUUAACAGCAUUAUUAUAUACACUAAUGAAAACAUUUAUUUUCCAGAAAGGACAUUAGGUUCUUCUUUCCAGUCUCCCACUGUAAACCUCCUUAUCCCAUGACCUUGCCUCUUUUCAAUAGGAUGUCUGCUCCCCAGGGGCUCUUCAAGGAAGGAGCUCUUGAGGACUCCAGGACUUACCCUCAUGCUUUUUCCUGCUAGCAGAGUCUGAGAUCUCCACCAAGGCUCAUUCCCAGUCACUGCUGAUAACUUUUCUUUACCCCCAGACCACAGGACCCUAGAGUGUGCUGUGUGGUAGUGACUGUCAUCGAAGUGAAUUGGGAACUAUAUAAAAACAGCCUAUCAGCUGGCUUACUUUGCUCUUUUGUUACUUUUUUUUUUUUUUAAUGGAGUCUUGCUCUUGUUGCCUAGGCUGGAGUACAAUCGCACAAUUUUGGCUCACUGCAAACUCCACCUCCUGUGUUCAAGUGAUUCUCCUGCCUCAGCCUCCCGAGUAGCUGGGAUUAGAUGCCUGCCACCAAGCCCGGCUAAUUUUUGUAUUUUUUGUAGAGACAGGGUUUCACCAUGUUGGCUAGGCUGGUCUCGAACUCCUGACCUCAGGUGAUCUACCUGCCUCGGCCUCCCAAAGUGCUGGGAUUACACGUUUGAGCCACUGUGCCUGGCCGAUCUUUCGUUUCUUUUCAGCAUAAUUUAGAUAGUCAGAUUUCAGUAUCUACAAGGCACAUGGAAAAUGGAAAGGCUUCCCCUGCAAGCUUGGAGAAAAUACCGGUUCUUCACCCUGGGCAUUCCCUGUACUGUAACAGCACAGACUCAAGACAUUUUUCAUCACAGCGGGGCCAGAGGCCUGUGAAUCCCUCAAAAUUGUAGGUAAAAUCUUAAGAGCAAAAUUUUGUUGAUGUUCUCAAAAAGAAUGUGUGACUUUCUAAAAAGGUUAAGUAAGAAUAUAGCUAGUAACCUUCCAUCCACUGCCCCCAUCAUCCCCAAAGGUUGCUGUCUCCAUUGGGGUAUUGCUUAAAUACGUUGUUAGAGAAACAUUGCUACCAGAGGCCCUGCCACAGGCAUUCUUGCCCCGAAGCCCUUACCCCGCAAAGCUAGGGGUAGUGGUUGAGAAUCAUUCAUCCUAAGGCAACUCCAGGGAAAUCCCUGCUUUGACAAAUUGGCCUAGCCAGGCUGUAUUCCAGCCCUGCCCCCUGGCUUGGGCCCCUCCCUGAGGCCCCCAGCCUGGCCCAACCCCCACUCUACAUGCACAUAAAAGGGUCGAAUUCUCGUGGCUGCUCCAUAAAUUUUAUUCCGUAAAUAUUAGUUUUCCCUGUGUUUAAUAAAGCAGUGGCCCACCUCCCCGCCUACCCGCCCGCUCCCCGGGGCUGGGGCUGGGGCCAGGGCUGGCUGGUGGGAGAAGGGACUCUUUCAAUUGCUUUGGAGUAUUUUUAGAAAAAAAAAUAAUAUAAGGUGGUUUACACGAGCAAGCCAGCAAACCAGGAGCAGGACUUGGGACCUCGAGGAAGUUCCUGCAGGAACUUGACCUAAAAAGUAGAGAAAUAGCGCCACCUAGAUUGCAAGGCCUACUUGGCCUUGCCGGCUGGUCCCCCAUAGUUAGCUAGGACAGGCAUGCUCCCUGCUUGGAGAGAAAGCCUCAUCCCUUUCCACUCUAGCUGGGUAGCACCUCCUUUUCUCAUGCCUCAGUGGGGGCUUCCCCAGCAACCCUUAAAAGCAGAGCUCAGGCUGGGUCCUAAAAGAUAUCACUAGGGUCAUUCUCUUCUCUUGUCACCAGGCAGCCAGUCUCCCAGAUCAAGGAGGAUUUCCAAGGGAUAGUAAAGUUAUUGAGAAGGCAGGAAGAAAGCUUCUAGUCUCCAUCUUUCCCUGAUUCCUGAGAAGCGAAUUCCUAUGGUGUAAGGUGGCGAAGAGUGAGAUCUGUGCUUCUAUGCUCUGAACUGGAAAGAGUCUAGCCUGUUGAGACCAAAAUCCUUCCACAGGCCUGGUGUAGCGCACCCACAGUGAGCACUGGGGGAAGGAGAGAUGCUCACAUCUCUUGAUACUCAGCCCUACUGCUGCUCGUUUUUAUCCAGCGGUACAUUUGGACUCCCUUUUCUUUCCUUCCUUUUCACUUAGACCUCCCAUUUUCCCAAGCCCUUACCUCCUCCUUAGCCCACGUUUGUUGGGAGAUAAGCAGGGGCCCCUUGUGUACUCUGUACAAAGCUGGCGGGAGGAGUGGGGAAUGGAAAAGGCUGUGCUGCUCCUCCUGGUUUCGUUCCUUACAUUGUCACUAGGAGCAUUUUCCUCUCUCUGUUUAUUCUGUCUCUCAUUUUCUCCUACUUACAAAACUACACAGAUUCGCUCCAGAGAGUAUAGAGUAAGCCUAAAUUCUCUUAAUAGCCCUUCCUCAUGAUAUGGUAAGCUCACUUUGUCUGUUCUGCUUAUGCUGUUAAUGUAGACUGUGUUAAUAGACACACUUCCUGUGCACUUUUCUGUUUUCAUCCUUUCAUUAGGUUAUACUCUUUGAGAACAGGGUCAGUUUUAACCCUAACUCAGAAAAUAUCACUUCAGGGAUAUUAUACCAUUAACAAAUAUAAUUUUAUGUCAACUAGGUUUUGAUACAAUCAGGAUAUGUUUUUCUAAGCUCUACUGUGAAGUAGUUUCUGUCUUCUAAUUUUUCUUGAAGAAAAAACUGUUAGAAAGGAAUAAGUGACAUACUGCAAGGAAGCCACCAAACUCAGAGCUCAAGAACCUUGGUUCCUCGUCUCUGUUACUAAUAUCCAUAAAUGUAUGGGCUAGCAAAAUUGUAAUGGAUUACACUAGGCCCUUAGAUACAGAGGGGAAUGCAGGAAGAGAAGGAAGCCCAUACUUUAUAGGAGGGGGGUUCCCAGCUGCAUUGAUGCCCUGGAAGCUGCUACAGGGUGCUCUUGUCCAGGGCAGCUCAUUGCUCUAUGUUUUUUCCUUGUGUUCUUGGCCAAGGCCUCAGAAGAUCUCACCAUGAGCGGAACAUCCAGUGCAUGGAGGGUAUGAGGUAGCUUGUCUUAUGUGAGGAAGAGGGACCAUAGGGAAUCCUUCUCUAUUUGAACAUCUAGAAGUCCAUCUUUCUUGAUCUUUCAUCCCAUCUUCUGAGACUUUUUUUGUGGUGGCCUUUUAUGUAUCCUCUCAGCUCUGGGCUCUCAGUUCUCUAUCCUAGCACAUAGGAAGUCAUUAGGUAGCACCCAAGUAUUCUAGCAAAGGCUUCAUCACUCUUCUGAGCUAUUAAGUCCCACCCCACUCAGUUUCUCUAUUUGGAGCCCAACAGAUUUUGCUAUCCUUCCACCCACUCAGCACCCAACUCUUAUGGGUUCUCAAGAAUCUGGGCCAGCCUACCAGGGGAACCCGGAAGAAGCACUGGAAGAGCUCCAGGGUGUGGGGAGCACACAGCCAUUGACUCACCUGGGAAGAUUGUGCUAGGAUUACUUGUCCUGCUGGGCCAAGGGCCAGUAGUUAAAGGAGCAUGCAGUGCCACACUCUUCCUCUCUGCCCUUACUCUGGGGCCCAAAACAGUAGCAGAGUUAGAAUUGGGGAGUAGGGUUCAGGGGCUGCUGGGAGUCCCUUCUGAAAUGUGUUGUAUUUACUUUUUCAUAUUGGCAGCUGGAAGGGGAAGCCCAUCCCAGCUCGGCAUUGUUGUCUAACAUGGUUAAUCAGAUCCUAUAAUCCUGCUGUGGAAAUAUUGGGCCUCACUCAAAACAAUAGAGACCGAGAAUAUUGUGGUUAAAUUUCAACCAACGGCCUCCCUGGCCUGUUUGCCUAACCCCUACCCCCCUCUCCCGGGCCAGAGUCCUCCUAGCUUUAUGGACCCCUGAUAGGAUUGACGGCCAGUCAGAAAUGGGUGACAGGAGAGGGGAGAAUGGAGUAGGGGAAGGGUGAUCCUUUUGACUGGCACUUCAUCCUGGCUUUUCCCUCCUACCUCAGGCCUUGAAGGCUGAGCAGGGGAUGGUGAAAGGGGUUGGAGCUGGUAGGGAAGCCCCACAGGGUGUGGGUCUCCACUCAGGGAUCAAGAGCAGUGCUGUUGGGAAUCAUGCAUGGUAAAGACAGCCCUUACUCAAGACAGAAAAAGCCUGAUGCCACAUGAGAAGGGAAGACUGCCAGUUUCAUUUAGCAUUGUUGCCUAGCGGGGAUUUCAGGGCGUCCUGUCACGUGAGAGGAAUGGGGAGGCACUAGUUGUGGAAGGCAGAGCUGGUAAUAAUUUAGAUUUUGUUUCAUAGAUAACAGCAAUACUAAUAACGGUGUGAUGACAUUUGAAGGUGAUACUGAUGGCCCUACUUGAGUGGUUUUCUGAUAGUGGUAAUGUCUGUUGUGUUGCCCUCUUUCAUAGGUGUGAAUUAAAUCUGGCAGGAAAAUUUACAUAGUUAGAAUAGCAAGACAAAGGGAAUAGAUCAUUUCAGAAGGAUAAGCUGUACAAUGGUAUUUUGAAUUAAAAAAAAAAAAGAAAGAAAAGAUUGAGUGUCUGGAUUGUGCUAAAGGGGAAAUUUAAGACUGGGCUCCAUGGCUUACGCCUGUAAUCCCAGCACUUUGGGAGGCUGAGGCGGGAGGAUUGCUUGAGGCUAGGAGUUUGAGACCAGCCUAGGCAACAUGGCGAAACCCUGUCUUUGCAAAACAUUUUUAAAAUUAGCGUGGUGGGCCAGGCGCAGUGGCUCACGCCUGUAAUCCCAGCACUUUGGGAGGCUGAGGCAGGUGGAUCACCUGAGGUCAGGAAUUUGAGACCAGCCUGGCCAACAUGGUGAAACCCCAUCUCUACUAAAAAUACAAAAAUUAGCUGGAUGUGGUGGCGCACACCUGUAAUCCCAGCUAGUCUACUCAGGAGGCUGAGGCAGGAGAAUCGCUGGAACCCGGGAGGCAGAGGCUGCAGUGAGCUGAGAUCGUGCCACUGCACUCCACCCUGGGCGACAGAGCAAGACUCCAUCUCAAAAAUAAAAAUAAAAAAAAAAUUAGUGUGGUGAUGUGCGCCUGUAGUCCCAGGUACUCCGGAGGCUGUGGCAGAUUGUGGGCUUAUUGAACACAGGCAGUUUGUGGCCAUUCAGCAAGGAGCAUAAUGCCCCUGUUGGUGGUGAUAGUGAAUAAGCACUCAGUGCAGUCAAUAAGUAUAUAAUUUGAGUUAAUGCAUGUUUAAUGAUUCCUGUUUCUUGUUGAAUGUGGAUUUCUCUAUCUCAUUCCCAAUACAUUUCCUACAAGCCAGUGCCAUUCCCUUGAAUUGCUUUAUAGCAAUCUGGAAUGUUUUCCCAUUGGAUUUUCUCACUUGCAGCUCAAGUCUGUGAACACCAUGAGGUUUAAUCAACAUGAGGUUUAAGCCAACUUUAUAGGCUUCCUAUAUCUCCCUUCCUGGUCAGCAAUAUAGCCCAUUCUCUGGAGCUUCCCGUGGGGAUUUUUCUUCCCAGUGAAUUCUUCCUAUUAGUUAUCUAAGUGGUUUAACUGUUGAAAUGUUUUCCGUCAUCUUUAGAUCCUUUUGAAACCACUUUCUCUACCUGCUUCAGUUCCAUUUGAUGACCGCCAUCAUCUUUGAGAUUCCCAUCCAGAACCAUGCAUACCUCUUAGGUUCUCACAGCCAGGAGCUAUUUCCUAAGUUGUCUUUCUGGUGGAAAGCUCAGCUCCUACUAAGCAGUCCUUGCUUCAAAAUGGCUUUGAUGAAUGACCCAAAGGAGCCAGGCCAGUCCCUGAGUCAUCACAGAGCACCCUAGGUGAGAAACCCUGAAGUGUUCUCUGCUGUUGCUCCACCCCUACCCUAUAUGAACAGAUUAAAUCGUUUCGUUUGGCACA